GUGGAUAUAAGGAAUAAGAAUAAUGUGGAAAUAAGGAAUAAGGAAUGGACAAUAAUGUGGAAAUAAGGAAUAAGGAAUGGACUAUAAGGUUUAAUUAUAUAUACUAGGGACUUGCCAAUUAUGUUUCUCGGCAGUCCCAUUCUUUGUCAAGCCGUGGCCGUACAAUUUUGUACUUUUGCCAAAUAAAAUAUUUCUUACUUUAUAUUUGUAUUUCAUUUGGCCCCAC
rnacentral:lncRNA from 1 species